AGUGAACGCUGGCGGUAGGCCUAACACAUGCAAGUCGAACGGUAGCACAGUAAGAGCUUGCUCUUACGGGUGGCGAGUGGCGGACGGGUGAGGAAUGCAUCGGAAUCUACUUUUUCGUGGGGGAUAACGUAGGGAAACUUACGCUAAUACCGCAUACGACCUACGGGUGAAAGCAGGGGAUCUUCGGACCUUGCGCGAUUGAAUGAGCCGAUGUCGGAUUAGCUAGUUGGCGGGGUAAAGGCCCACCAAGGCGACGAUCCGUAGCUGGUCUGAGAGGAUGAUCAGCCACACUGGAACUGAGACACGGUCCAGACUCCUACGGGAGGCAGCAGUGGGGAAUAUUGGACAAUGGGCGCAAGCCUGAUCCAGCCAUACCGCGUGGGUGAAGAAGGCCUUCGGGUUGUAAAGCCCUUUUGUUGGGAAAGAAAAGCAGCAGGUUAAUACCCCGCUGUUCUGACGGUACCCAAAGAAUAAGCACCGGCUAACUUCGUG
rnacentral:rRNA from 1 species